GGCGGUGUAGCUCAGCUGGUUAGAGCAUGCGGCUCAUAUCCGCAGUGUCCGGAGUUCGAAUCUCUGCACCGCCACCA
rnacentral:tRNA from 1 species